CGGAGGAUCCAAGCGUUAUCCGGAAUCAUUGGGUUUAGAGGGUCCGUAGGCGGGUUUAUAAGUCAGUGGUGAAAGCCCAUCGCUCAACGAUGGAACGGCCAUUGAUACUGUAGAUCUUGAAUUAUUAGGAAGUAACUAGAAUAUGUAGUGUAGCGGUGAAAUGCUUAGAGAUUACAUGGAAUACCAAUUGCGAAGGCAGGUUACUACUAAUAUAUUGACGCUGAUGGACGAAAGCGUGGGGAGCGAACAGGAUUAGAUACCCUGGUAGUCCACGCCGUAAACGAUGGAUACUAGCUGUUCGGAGCAAUCUGAGUGGCUAAGCGAAAGUGAUAAGUAUCCCACCUGGGGAGUACGUUCGCAAGAAUG
rnacentral:rRNA from 1 species